rnacentral:rRNA from 1 species
GAUGAACGCUGGCGGCGUGCCUAAUACAUGCGAGUCGAGCGAACAGACGAGGAGCUUGCUCCUCUGACGUUAGCGGCGGACGGGUGAGUAACACGUGGAUAACCUACCUAUAAGACUGGGAUAACUUCGGGAAACCGGAGCUAAUACCGGAUAAUAUAUUGAACUGCAUGGUUCAAUAGUGAAAGACGGUUUUGCUGUCACUUAUAGAUGGAUCCGCGCCGCAUUAGCUAGUUGGUAAGGUAACGGCUUACCAAGGCAACGAUGCGUAGCCGACCUGAGAGGGUGAUCGGCCACACUGGAACUGAGACACGGUCCAGACUCCUACGGGAGGCAGCAGUAGGGAAUCUUCCGCAAUGGGCGAAAGCCUGACGGAGCAACGCCGCGUGAGUGAUGAAGGUCUUCGGAUCGUAAAACUCUGUUAUUAGGGAAGAACAAAUGUGUAAGUAACUAUGCACGUCUUGACGGUACCUAAUCAGAAAGCCACGGCUAACUACGUG